CCACCAGGAAGAACUUCUCCAGGAAGAGUUCCGAGUCUAGAACAGCGAUGUGAGCUGCACGGCCGAUCAAAGUGUUUGCCGUGUUUGGCAGCGCGUGAAAGACGUUGUGACGAAUCAGACGACAACCUUUGACCUCCAGGAGAGGCUGCAGGAGGUUGUUGAUCAUCUCCGUGUAGACGGGACCUGAAGGACAUCAAUUAUAUCAGCACUCAUUUAACAGCAGCCAUCUUGGGGAGGGAGUCCAAGCCUAGUGCUGAAAGAUAUAAACAUCCCAUCAGUCGGCAUCCCAGUGAGAGCAGACAUUGUACAUGCACUUCUGCACAUUUCUAUCCUGGCAGAGUGGAAAGGAACAUAACGAUCCUGCGGGGACGCCACCAGGACCACGUUCUUGAAGAACUGCAGACCUGACACACACACACACAAGGUACAUGUUGACAUUUAUUAUUGUUAGUAGUGGUGGUAGUUGACAUGGCAGACAGAUUAGUAGUAGUAGUGGUAAUUUAAAAAUAAUAGUUGUCCAGUAGAAGUUGCACAUGUGCAUAAGAUGGAUGGAUGGAACUGACCUGGUUUCUGACUGAGGAGAUAAAGGAAGGUGUGACGAGGAUCCACCUGGUCUCUGAAGGUCAGUUGGAGCAAAGAUCCUGACUUCUUCAGCUUCUGCAUCAACCACAGACCUGACACACACACACACACACACACACACACACACACACACACACACACACACACACACACACACACACACACACACACACACACACACACACACACACACACAC